CAUGCCGUAAACGAUGAGUGCUAGGUGUUGGGGGUCAAACCUCGGUGCCGCAGCUAACGCAUUAAGCACUCCGCCUGGGGAGUACGUACGCAAGUAUGAAACUCAAAGGAAUUGACGGGGACCCGCACAAGCAGCGGAGCAUGUGGUUUAAUUCGAAGCAACGCGAAGAACCUUACCAGGGCUUGACAUGCCACUGACCGGUAUAGAGAUAUACCUUUCUCUUCGGAGACAGUGGACACAGGUGG
rnacentral:rRNA from 1 species